GCAUUGGUAGUGUAGUGGUAUCACGGGACGUUGCCAUCGUCCCGACCGGGGUUCGAUUCCCCGUCAAUGCA